rnacentral:rRNA from 1 species
UACGAAGGGGGCUAGCGUUGCUCGGAAUUACUGGGCGUAAAGCGCACGUAGGCGGCUUUCUAAGUCGGGGGUGAAAGCCCGGGGCUCAACCUCGGAACUGCCUUCGAUACUGGCUAUCUUGAGUACGGGAGAGGUGUGUGGAACUCCGAGUGUAGAGGUGAAAUUCGUAGAUAUUCGGAAGAACACCCGUGGCGAAGGCGACACACUGGCCCGUUACUGACGCUGAGGCGCGAAAGCGUGGGGAGCAAACAGG